GUCUCUCCUACUCUGCCCUGACAGAUGAGAACACAAGAUUCAAAGAUGUGAAGUUGCCCAGGGUGACUUCGUAGAUGAUAAAACACUCCUGUGAGAGGUGCCUUCUGUGUCCCCGAAGGAGAGGAACAUUCUUAGCUCUGAAACACAGGGACACUGAGAAGAAUCUCAACCAUCAGGCCUUACUAAGCCUCCCCCCGGUUUACUACAUUAGCUCGUGCUGUCUGCCUCAUCUUAUUCCUCCGUGACUGCCCACUCCUCAUCAUCCCUGGCACAAAGUGCACAGCUCUAACUAUUUCUUUGAGUCUUCAUU